UAUUUUGUCAGUUAAUUCACAACUUUUAGUAUGUGUGCAAGAGAGGUUUAGAGUGGGGAUGGGAUAAGGGAUGCCCAGUGUGAUAUGGGAAAUCAUUCAUCUUUCUGUUCUGUUCCACAUGUUAGUAGAAGGAGUAGGCUGAAUGAGAGGAAAGGGGAAUAAAUCAAGACAUAGAUGUGCUUUUUAAAUGUUCUGAGCAUUGAUGUUAUGCUUUUGUGUUGUUUCUUCUUUAUUCCAAGGUUUCUCUACAGUGCUGUAAAAAUGUCCCCUGCCUAGGGCGCUAACCAAUAACGUUUACCUCAAGAAAGCUUAAAAAAAAAAGAGGCAGUUUUUUUCCCAUCUCUUAAAAAAUAGUGUCCCUCUAACCAAAAGGUGAGGCAUUUCCGCAGAAGUUCAGCAAGAGAAGAGAACCAUUUCUGAGGCUUUCCUUCAUGUCCCCAUCCUUUUCUACCGCACCCCACCCCCUUUAGUUACUAAUGAAAGAAUCCAAGAGAUUAGUUUUGACCAGAAGUGGGUUAGGAUGUGAUUAAAGUGUAUUAUUGGUGAAUAUAAACUUUGCCAGAACUAGCGGUGUGGGGUCCUUUCAAAGGAUGGCUGUGUACUUCAGAUGUUUCAUGCUAGCAUGUGUGUGUGUGUGUGUGUGUGUGUGUGUGUGUGUGUACUGUAUAUAUGUUCCAGUGUGUGAAAUGUCUGGUGGACAGAGAACAAAAUACCGCAAGCAGACAUGAACAGGAAAAGAUAUAUAUCAAAUGCUAUUUUAUCAGAUGAUGCACUUGUUCACCUUGAUGAGAAGCCACUGUUUCACAACUAUGCAAUCUUCCAGUUUUUCUCCCCACCCGUUCACCUUAGAUUUCCAAACUGUUUUCCAUAAUCCUCACAGAUUUUUUCCUUUGUACAAGAAACACAAUAUCCAAUCCCUGGUUCAAGGUGAGCAUGCUACAGUGAUUCUUUUCCUAAAUUUAAGAGCUAAAGAAAAAAGAAUUUUCCUUUUCUUUAAUUGGAAAUGAUUCAGUGUAACCUCGUUUGGUUCUGUAAGUGAACUGAUGUGUAUUUUCUGUUUCAGUUACAUGUUUACAACUUGUUUUCAUCCUCUUC
rnacentral:lncRNA from 1 species